rnacentral:rRNA from 1 species
AGAAUGAACGCUAGCGAUAUGCUUAACACAUGCAAGUUGAACGUUGUUUUCGAGUCAAAAUGAAAACAAAGUGGCGAACGGGUGCGUAACACGUGGGAAUCUGCCAAACAGUUUGGGCCAAAUCCUGAAUGAAUGAAAGCUAAAAAGCGCUGUUUGAUGAGCCCACGUAGUAUUAGGUAGUUGGUUAGGUAAAAGCUGACCAAGCCUACGAUGCUUAGCUGGUCUUUUCGGAUGAUCAGCCACACUGGGACUGAGACACGGCCCAGACUCCUACGGGAGGCAGCAGUGGGGAAUUUUGCGCAAUGGGGGAAACCCUGACGCAGCAACGCCGCGUGGAGGAUGAAGCCCCUUGGGGUGUAAACUCCUUUCGAUCGGGACGAUUAUGACGGUACCGGAAGAAGAAGCACCGGCUAACUCUGUGCCAGCAGCCGC